rnacentral:lncRNA from 1 species
AAACUUUCAUUCCGACACCCUGACCUUCAGGAAGGAGAGAGGGGUUGGAGGUUGAGUCAAUCACCAAUGGCCAAAGAGUCAAGCAAUCACACCUGUGUGAUGAAGCCUCCAUAAAAACCCAAAAGGACAGUGUUUAGAGAACUUCCUGGUUUGUGGAUAUACGGAGGUGCUGGGAGACUGGUGCUCCGGGAUAGGGCUUGGAAGCUCCACGUGCCUUUCCACAUACCUUGCCCUACAAAUCUCUUCCAUGUGGAUGUUCAUCUGUAUCCUGUAUCAUAUCCUUUUAUAACAAACUGCUGAAGUCAAGAAACUGGGCCACAGCCAAGCACACAUGCCUGAUGAGCGACAGAGGUGAUGCCAUCUGACUGCAGAGCGCAAGAGCCAAACCUUUGCACUAGUCACCCUCCUGACUCCAGGAGCAAACUAUGGCAUGCUCCUUUUUAAAGAAAGUAUGCAAGUGCCGAAGAACGUAGCAAUGAGUAUGGAGCAGGCAGCUCAGGUCGCCUGGGGACACGCCAAUAGCUGUGCCUAAUAAACGUAUUGGAAAGCCCAAUUAGGCUCCAGAAAGUUCCCUUGAACAAUCCUUGAUGCGGUGUUGACUUUCGUGAGGCCUCAGCAAUGCAAAGCACCUGCAAAAGGCUCAUUAGCUACAGGAAGUUAUCUUGUGCUGUUCAACUGCACCUCCAGCUCAGAAACUUCAGACCCCUGGCAGAGACUUUUCAGGAGGUAUUUUUCCUGGAUAUAUAAAUCAAUUCGAUUCAUAGCAAAGUGGCUUCAGAGAUGACUGCAAAGUAAAUUUUCAAUCACCCAAGCCUCUCCUUCCUUGACGCAAUGAAGAGUAAGAACAAAAGAUCCUGGGGCUGCCCCAUGGCCUAGUGGUUAAGUUUGCGUGCUCCACUUCAGCGGCCCAGGCUUUCACUGGUUUGGAUUCUGGGUGCGGACGUGGCACUUCUCAUCAGGCCAUGCUGAGGCAGAGUCUCACAUAGCACAACCAGAAGGACCUACAACUAGAAUAUACAACUAUAUACCAGGGAGCUUCGAGGAGAAGAAGGAAAAAAAAAAAAGUAAAGGUUGGCAACAGAUGCCCAGGUGCCAAUCUUUAGAAAAACAAAACAAACCAAAAGAUCCUCAGCAUUUCAGCAUCCCUUGAGAAGUAAUCAUUAGGGGUAAUAAGGCUUUGCCAUUUUUUUUAGUAAGCUUGAAGGGGAAAUAGGAAAGAAACCAAAUAUGCUAAGAAUGAGAAAGGACAUUGAUGAUCAAGAGGCAGCUACCAAAGUAUUUUCUUUCUAGGCCUUAGAAGAAUUAAUAUUUGUUCUUGGGAGGUUGUGUGUAUUCAUGCUUUUAACAUAUGUGUUAAAAGAAAUAAAAAAAGAGUGAAUAUGGAACACAAAGAUGGGAUCUACCCUAAAGGGAACGUGAGGUUUCCUACUGCUGAGAUCUGGAGUUCAAAAUGCCCCCUUUCCCUCAUUCCUUCAUUCCCUCUUUCCUGAUGCCGUAGCAUCAACAUAGAAAUCCCACAGCAAACAUGAUUAAAGACCAGGAUGCUUCUCCAGCCUCAAUGUCUCAAACCCGGGGAACGGCUCUUGGGGCAUGAGUAAUGGAUUGGGUGGUGAAGGACCUCUUUCCAUGACUUCUCCCAAAAGUAGGGUGUAUGUGCUUGGGUAAGUUUUAAGGAGUUUUGUGGCCUUAGCAUGAAUCAGAGGGCAGUGGAGCCCAGUUAAGAAUGAGGUAGAAGCCCACAGCUGCAAUCUCUUGGCAAGGG